rnacentral:rRNA from 1 species
UACGUAGGGUGCAAGCGUUGUCCGGAAUUAUUGGGCGUAAAGAGCUCGUAGGCGGUCUGUCGCGUCUGCUGUGAAAACUCAGGGCUUAACCCUGAGCUUGCAGUGGGUACGGGCAGACUAGAGUGCGGUAGGGGAGACUGGAAUUCCUGGUGUAGCGGUGAAAUGCGCAGAUAUCAGGAGGAACACCGGUGGCGAAGGCGGGUCUCUGGGGCCGAUACUGAC